AUCGCUUCUCGGCUCUCUGAGCUGUGGUCCAAGUGUAGUAUCUGUUCUUAUCAGUUUAAUAUCUGAUAUGUUCUCAAUGUGAGAACUUUAUAUUAAACGGAUUUUUGGAACAGGGAGAUGGAAUAGGAGCUUGCUCCUUCCACUCCAUGCAUCAGCCUGGUAUUGCAGUACUUCCAGGUGUGGUGCGCCUCCC